CUAUACAUGACUCUGCGCAUAUCAAUAAGCGGAGGAAAAGAAACUAACAAGGAUUCCCUUAGUAACGGCGAGUGAAGCGGGAAGAGCUCAAAUUUGAAAUCUUCAAGGUUUUACCUUGACGAAUUGUAGUUUAAAGAAGUGUUUUCUGCUGAAGUUUUGGUAAAAGUUCUUUGGAAUAGGACAUCAUAGAGGGUGAGAAUCCCGUAUUUGACCAUUAUAUUCAGCUUUGUGAUACACUUUCAAAGAGUCGGAUUGUUUGGGAAUGCAGUCCAAAAUGGGUGGUAAAUUUCAUCUAAAGCUAAAUAUUGGCGAGAGACCGAUAGCGAACAAGUACCGUGAGGGAAAGAUGAAAAGAACUUUGAAAAGAGAGUUAAACAGUACGUGAAAUUGUCAAAAGGGAAGCGUUUGACACCAGUGUUGUUUUCUCGAAAAUCAAUUAAAAAUGGCUCGAUUUUGUAUUGCUUGAGACCUUAAAAGCUCACUGUACAUUUUUCGUGUCUUUUUUAAUGCACUUUUCGUUUAACAAGUCAACAUCAGUUUCUUUUGUUGUAAAAGGGUCAUUGGAAGGUGGCUUUCUUUUCGGAGAAAGUGUUUAUAGCCUUUGGCCUCUGCAAUCGGAGAGACUGAGGUCUGCAGCGUAGACUCUUCGGGGUUAGAUACAUUUGUGCUAAGUUAUAGCUUUUUAUAGACAACUUGUUGACUAUAAUUAGUCUUGUAGCUUACUCGCUUAUGCUAUUUUACCUACGCUUAGGAUGUUGAAGAUGUAGCACAUCAU
rnacentral:rRNA from 1 species